GGAGAGGAUCACAAACACAGCAGGGAAGUCUCAUCACUGCGAAGGGGACGCGCCAUCCGUCUCUCCUGGCAACUGAGGACAGAGAAGGUCUGAGCACCUGCCCUCCCCGGCCUCCCACCCGCUUCGGAGUCGUAUUCAUUACCUUUGAAAAUGCUCAGUUCUUCGGUGCAGGGCGGGGCAGACCGGAGGGAGUAGAGAGAGGAACAGGAGGUACUCAAACUCAGAAGAGAGGAGAUGGUCUAGAAGAAGCUGAGAAGGCUACACAAAAAAAGGACAGAGGAGAGAUGAGGAGGAGCAAGAAGCCCUUUGCCUUGUGUGCGCCAGAAGAAAGGGAUUAGGACAGUAGCUACCCAUUAAGCGCUUUCCUUGUUUCAGGCUCAGUAACACAGUGUUAUACAGACAUUUUAUUUACUCCUGGCAAAGCUAUGACGCACCUUUAAUUGGUAUCCUAGUUUACCCCAACUAAAACUGAUGAUUUAAGUGUUUAUAAACCUUACAUGAGGUGAUACAGAUGGUUACUAAUGUAUCCAAGAUUUAGACCCUUGUAUGUCAUAGUCCAGAGAAUAUGUUUAACCUCUAUUCCGUAGGAUAAGCAGAGGCGGUCAAGAAAAUGAACCAAGCUCUAUCUACCAUUUGCUACCUGCGUGGUUUGGGGCAAGUUCUCUAAUGUCUUAUAUCAGCUCUUUCAUCUGAAAUCAUUAAUAUAAUAUCUGCCUCUAUGGGUUGUGAGAAAGAAUAAACCCCAUGAUACACACAAA